UUCUUCGAGAGUCCCAGUGCCUAUAUACUCGCAAGAAGGAUAUGGUAUGAAAUACAGCUUGGUACACAUCUGUGCUGGUAGAUUUGUACAUUUGGAAGUUGUUUCAGUGUGGAGAGAGAUGGACACGGUGUAUUGUACGUUAAUCUUAAGACCAAAGAAUGGCAUGAAACAUGGUGUUGAUGGAUGGAUGUGUGAUGAGAUUGGAAUGUUGUUUCGUUAAGGCAAGGCAAGUACAGAACAGAAAGGUAAAAUUAUUAAAAAGAUGUUAUAUUGUAUUUAUAAUAGGGGAAUGAUAUUAUGAACAACAUAAUAUGUUAGAUGAAAUUGAAAUUGUGUAUAUGAAAGUUGAGAGUAAACAUUAUUGAAAGUAACAUUGUAAAUUGUGAAAUGAUCCCUGGUGGAUGACAUGAAGUCAUUAAUGAAAACUGGACAUGGAAGUUUACUGCAGUGAAAAUUAGUGAAAAAUGAAAUGGAAAGUAUCUGUUGAAAUAUGAAAGAAAUGAAUUGAAUCAGCAAUAGGAAAAUACGAAAAGUGAAAGUGAAAAUGAAUGAAAAUAAAUUGAAAAAGGAAGGAAUGCAUGAAAAUUUGAAUUUUCAAAAAAAUUGAGAACAAUAAUGUAAAUAAUAUAGAUAUUAUGAAGAGUUGAAUGAAGAAAUUUGAAAGUGAAAAUAUAAAGAUAGUGAAAAAUGGAAAGUAUCUGUUGAAAUAUGAAUGAAAUAUAAAUGAAGAGCACAAGAGAUCAGCAAUAACAAAAGGAAAUGUGAAAGUGAAAAAUGAAUGAAAAUAAAUUGAAAAAGGAGGAAUGCAUGGAAAUUUGAAUUUUCAAAAUAUUGAAUCGGCUUCAAAGAAAUGAAAAAGGAGAACAAUAAUAUAGGAAUUUAUGAAUGAAAUUUGAAAGUGAAAUGAGUUCAUAACGAAAUAAAAAAUGAAUGAAUAAUGUAAUGGAAGAUAAUUUGGUGGUGCAAAGAUCAGACAUGUGAAAAUAUAAAUGAAAUAGAUUUGAAACAAUUGGCUUUUCUUGACUGUAGAAAGUCAAUGAUUGUUGAUUGUCUGCUCCUCCCAUUCAUAGUUCUACCAUGAUGUGGAAGUGCAGACAAUGCAGUUAUUCUAAUUGAUUGUUUUUCUAUUUCAGCUCAAUUUUAUAUUGACCUUUGACUUGACCUUAAUCAAUCUGCAAGUCCUUACCAACCUGACCACCUCAUUUGAUGAUCAUAAGCCAUGGCUUUCCCUAGUUGACCAAUCAACUUUUUUAACUACUUGGCAUAA